AAUCAAUAAAAUGAGAAAUGGAAACUCAAGAACGCUGUAAAGGUUGCAGGAACUACCUAACAGUGCCACCUGAGCAACCUUGUUCAGUCUGCUAUAAAGUUAACAAUCCCAACCAAACGGGUAACCAGCAUACGGGUUGUAUGGUUAUCGAGAGUUAUGAGAACCGCCUGUCAAGCAAUAAUUACUAUACUGCCCCUUAUGGAAAGCCACCAACAUAUACAGGUGGGUCGCUAUAUGAACCAGCGAACUUCAGCUCACCUUCUGACACACUUCUGCAAAAGCUGUCCAAAAGUUAAGAUCGCUGUUUUAAUGUACAAAGUUCCUUCUAGAUCGCUGUUUGGUUUAAAAAAGUAAGAGAAGGUCGCUGUUUGGUGCAGAUAUCUAGCUAAGUUUGCUGUUUGAUGAUGCAAACUAAUUUAAGUUUGCUGUUUGGUCCAGAAAAGUGAUUUAAGUUCGCUGUUUCAUCAAUAUAUCUAAAUUAGUUAGCUGUUUCAUACAUAAAAAGUGAUGUAAGUUUGCUGUUUCAUCCAGAAUAUUAUUAAGUUUGCUGUUUCAUCAAGAAAUGUAUUAUAACUUUGCUGUUUGAUACAUAAAAAGUGAAGUAAGUUUGCUGUU